UACGUAGGGGGCGAGCGUUGUCCGGAGUUACUGGGCGUAAAGGGCACGCAGGCGGUGCGGCGCGUUUCGCGUGACAGCGGAGGGCUUAACUCUCCGAGGAUGCGAGAGACGGCGGCACUUGAGGGCCAGAGAGGGACACGGAAUUCCGGGUGGAGUGGUGAAAUGCGUAGAGAUCCGGAAGAACACCGAAGGCGAAGGCAGUGUCCUGGCUGGUGACUGACGCUGAGGUGCGAAAGCUAGGGGAGCGAACGGG
rnacentral:rRNA from 1 species